GGAUGAACGCUGGCGGCGUGCCUAAUACAUGCAAGUCGAGCGAACAGACGAGGAGCUUGCUCCUCUGACGUUAGCGGCGGACGGGUGAGUAACACGUGGAUAACCUACCUAUACGACUGGGAUAACUUCGGGAAACCGGAGCUAAUACCGGAGAAUAUAUUGAACCGCAUGGUUCAAUAGUGAAAGACGGUUUUGCUGUCACUUAUAGAUGGAUCCGCGCCGCAUUAGCUAGUUGGUAAGGUAACGGCUUACCAAGGCACCGAUGCGUAGCCGACCUGAGGGGGUGAUCGGCCACACUGGAACUGAGACACGGUCCAGACUCCUACGGGAGGCAGCAGUAGGGAAUCUUCCGCAAUGGGCGAAAGCCUGACGGAGCAACGCCGCGUGAGUGAUGAAGGUCUUCGGAUCGUAAAACUCUGUUAUUAGGGAAGAACAAAUGUGUAAGUAACUAUGCACGUCUUGACGGUACCUAAUCGGAAAGCCACGGCUAACUACGUG
rnacentral:rRNA from 1 species